GAUGAAGAACGCAGUGAAAUGCGAUACUUGGUGUGAAUUGCAGAAUCCCGUGAACCAUCGAGUCUUUGAACGCAAGUUGCGCCCGAAGCCAUUAGGCCGAGGGCACGCCUGCCUGGGCGUCACACGUCGUUGCCCCCCCAUCUACUCCUUCGGGAUUGCGGGGGGCGGAUGAUGGCCUCUCGUGCGCCUCGUCGCGCGGUUGGCCUAAAUGCCAAGUCCUCGGCGACGCACGCCACGACAAUCGGUGGUUGCGAAACCUCGGUUGCCUGUCGUGUGCGGUCGUCGCGCAUCGAGGGCUCGAAAAAAUUGCCGGGCUUCGGCUCGACUUUCAACGCGACCCCAAGUCAGGCGGGGUUACCCGCUGAAUUUAAGCAUAUCAAUAAGCGGAGGA
rnacentral:misc_RNA from 1 species